UGUGUGUGCCCACCUGGGGUUGCCUUUCAUUUCCCUCAGGCUUGGAGUGAAAUGCAUCUUCUGCCUAAACUAAGAGGGAUGCAUUGCCUACAUUAGCAUUUUACUCAGUGGGAAGUUCAAAAGCAGUUAGUUGCAGCACUGUAGCGCAGUCUUAUUUUUAUUAACUAUUUACAUCUUUUCUAAAAAUUCUUAUAGGAUAGCUUUGAGGAUGUUGAAAUAAGUAGGUUAAGGGGUCAUUGGCUUUGUGAUUUACAGAGUUCUUCCAUCCUCAAGCUUCUGAUGCAAGUUUACUCUAUAAUUUGGAUUUAGUGUAUUAUAACUCUGAUUAAUCCUUAAUACAGUCACAUGACGAGUUGAUUUAAAUCAUUCUGUAGGAGUAAAGCUCAGAAUUGAGACUAAGAUUGGUUGGUGGAGGUAUGGCUGCUAAAUAUCCUUCUCACCCCCAGGUGAAGAGGGAGCACCGGAGGACAGUUGCUUUUAUUUCUGACAAGUCUGUGUAAGUGAUCUGCAUCCAAUGAUCUACUAUGGAAUUUGAUUUUCACAGAAAGAGGACAGUAAAAUCUGUCUUAGAAGCAAGCUGUUAUAAAGUGUAAGUCCUGGGUGGAUACUGCAGAGCUUGCUUUGUUGACAAGGCAUUUGUGCCAGGAAAUGGGACAGACAAAUCUGUCUCUCCUUCAAGACAUCCCUUGCGGUCAUGCUUUAACACUGAAGCCAACUAUCACACUUGAAAGAAGGCUGAGCCCUUCAGUACAGACAUUAGAGGCUGAAAGGAUGUUUGAAUCCAAAAGACUGAAUAAAAUUGAUCUUGAAAAUAAGGCUGUUCAGCAAACUGUGUCUGACCUAAAGGGUAAGAGAAUUGGUGCAAGAAGACCACUUCCACCAUUCUGAUGGCCUCAUGCUAGGCCCAGAUCUUUGAAGUCCUUUCUCCAGUGUCACUCAGGCCUUACUCAGUUAGCAUUCCUAUCAUUGGGAACAGUGCAAACUGUGGUCUUGCGUUACACAAUUGUAACAAAUUAUCUCCAGCAAAAAUUGACAUUCAGAAGAAUUCAGCUGCGUUAGAACUUCAAGAUUUGGCUGGUUAUUUCCAGGAAUUCUAGUGACUCAACGCUAACCUGCCUAGAAAGGAUGAGCUGUCACAUUCAACUCAUUUUGUAAUACGCAGGAAAGUUGGAUGUAGGAGACAAAUAGGACUUAAAUAAAUUUCAUCUUUACACAAGUCAGUUCACAAGCAUUGCAUAUGGAAUCUAUUAUAAAGCUCUGUCAAACUCAUUCAUAGAGUCUUCAUCCCAGGAUGUAUCUUAAUGCAUCAUGUGUAGGAUAAUAAUAAUGUAUCUUAAUUCAUCAUGGGUAGAAUAAGUUCAUGAUCUACAGAAAAGAUACAAGUUUAUUAAUCAGGAAUUUUAAAAGGAAGUUAGGUGCUUAAAUGCCUUUAAGGAUAUAGGCCUUUGUACUUUUAGAUAUUUUUUUUCAAUUAUAGAAAAAAUUAGAAACAAUGAAGCUAUCAACCACAUUGACAAUAUUUUCUUGAGAUGUAAAAUUAAUUGUACGUGUUUUUGUUUUCUUAUUUUUGGUAACAAAUUGCAUAGGUGAGGUGCAGGAAGAAAAAUAUAUGAGAAAAACAUUCAGCUCCCUAUCAAGGGUUAUAGAGGAGCAUCUAGGAAUGAUAUUGUACAUGACAUGUUUGUAACAUAUGGAGCGGCAGCUGGCGGGGAGAGGCAACAGGGCCGGGGCUGGCAUAUAGGCAGGCGCAGUGUGCUCAGCUAGAUGCUGCCAGUGUCCUAGGGGGCGCUGUGGUUGGCAGCCCGGCCGGGAGGCGGGCGAGCACUGAGCCCCACCGUGUGUGAGCUGAA